rnacentral:rRNA from 1 species
GGUUAAGCGAAUAAGCGUACACGGUGGAUGCCUAGGCAAUCAGAGGCGAUGAAGGACGUGCUAAUCUGCGAAAAGCGUCGGUAAGGUGAUAUGAACCGUUACACCCGACGAUAUCCGAAUGGGGAAACCCAGUAUCCAAUGGAUACUAUCAUUAACUGAAUCCAUAGGUUAAUGAGGCGAACCGGGAGAACUGAAACAUCUCAGUACCCCGAGGAAAAGAAAUCAACCGAGAUUCCCCUAGUAGCGGCGAGCGAACGGGGAGCAGCCCAGAGUCUUAAUCAAUAA